rnacentral:rRNA from 1 species
UACGUAGGGGGCGAGCGUUGUCCGGAAUCAUUGGGCGUAAAGCGCGUGUAGGCGGUUCAGUAAGUCUGCUGUGAAAGUCCAGGGCUCAACCCUGGGAUGCCGGUGGAUACUGCUGAACUAGAGUGCGGAAGAGGCGAGUGGAAUUCCCGGUGUAGCGGUGAAAUGCGCAGAUAUCGGGAGGAACACCAAUUGCGAAGGCAGCUCGCUGGGACGUUACUGACGCUGAGACGCGAAAGCGUGGGGAGCGAUCCGG